rnacentral:rRNA from 1 species
UCCGAAGGGGGCUAGCGUUGUUCGGAAUCACUGGGCGUAAAGCGCACGCAGGCGGCUCGUUAAGUCAGGGGUGAAAUGCCAAGGCUCAACCUUGGAACUGCCUCUGAUACUGGCGAUCUUCGAGUCCGGGAGAGGUGAGUGGAACUCCGAGUGUAGAGGUGAAAUUCGUAGAUAUUCGGAAGAACACCAGUGGCGAAGGCGGCUCACUGGCCCGGUACUGACGCUCAGGUGCGAAAGCGUGGGGAGCAAACAGG